GCUGCCAAGCCCUGGAACCCACAUGAUGGAAGGGAAGAACUGACUCCUACAGGUUGUCUUCUGACUUCCACACAUGUGUUGUGACACCUGCUCCCUCCCCCAAAGGAAAUAAAAUGUGAAAAAAAAUAGAUGAACUAGCUCAGGAAACACAGAUAACAGAGGACUGAAGGUGGGUCCCAGGAAGCGUGACUGUCUGCAGUGGAGCAAAUGGACCCACAGUCGACACUGAGUGGGACACAAGGAGGGAAGAAAACACAGCCCCAGGCCAGAAUUCAAGCAACUUUGUAUAUGACGAUGGGAACCAGCCUCUCCUAAAGACCUUUCACGAUGCCCACGAGGAGGAAACCAGCAAGCCUCAGCCUGGAGCCUUCUGCAGUGGGCAGAGGAGCCCAGCAGCCCAGAGCACUUGUAAUAAGAGAAGGCCAGCACGACGUGCCAGCUUCACCUGCGGCAUGGCAGCCAGGCCAGCUCUUCGCAGCUCAAGUGCCCACACUUUACUGCUCUUGCAGGUGGAACACAGAGGCAGCUGAGGCAGCAGCCUAGACCUACUACUGCCUUUCCCGUGUUACAGACAGAGGAGGGAGCUGGAAAUGCUGGUGUUGUGGCUUCUCACUGAGCAUGUACACCCGAGUUCCCGUUGUUGAGAAAUCAUUAGGAACCCGCUUGUCAAGAACCUCAGUGGUGAACAGCCACCAGCCAGCCUCCAGAGGGAGGCUCUCUACUGCUGACACUGAUGGACACAGAAACGGAGCCCACAAGAGUCCCAGACUGGUCCAGACUCUAGCCCCCAGGGCAGCCGAGUGAGUGCACAGACCCCACCCACGCUUCAGCACUGUGCCACUAUGGUCCCUCACCUUCAACACCAGCUGAUAUGUGCUACUUCAGGAAAUGGGGAACUGGCAUGGGGGCUUUAAAAUACCUGCUUUACUACUGCAUCUCCAUAACAAAUACAACACAAAUUCUGCUAUCUUAACCUGUCUCUAAUCACCUCAAACACUGAAUCUGCCAGAAAUUUUCACUUGGCUUUUACUAGAAGGAACCGGAGUUAUCUGAAUUAAUUGUAUACUUUACCUUUCUUCAAAAGCAAAUAACUACAAGCUAUUAUUUUUCCUUGCUGAGCAACUCUGACUUCUUUAUAGAAAUCUCGUGCUGCAAUCUCUCAUCUUCCCUUACAGCUGAAUACUAUAAUCUGCGGGUUCUCUCCAGGGCACAACGUGACUACCAUCAGAUUUGUACUGAAGGAGCUUUCGGCUAUGGAGCGCUGUGUGAAACUAAUUUAUUAUCUCCUGGCCCGCUCCUUUUUAAUUACCACACUGCUCAGGCUGGAGCGACGGCUCAGUGGCUAAGAACAGGUCCUGCACUUGCAGAGGAUCUGAGUUAGGUUCCCAGCGCACAUGGCGAGGGGUUCGCAACUGCCUCCAACUCCAGAUACGCGGCAGCCUGGCCCGCUUCUGGCCGCUGUCAGUGCUUAUACCCACCCAGAAGCACACAGAGACAUGUCACCUGUCCAACAUCUAUGGUUUAGACUAGACCUUCUUUAGAUCACCUCCCUUACUCUCCCUACCCCCCCCCCCCCCCCCCCCCCACAUACUGGGAGUGGACCCAAGGACUUCACACAUGCUAGAAACGCUCUACUAUGGAGCUGCACUUUUGACUCCAGUAUUACUGCUUUGAGGUAUAAGCUACUCAAAGCCAGGGCUGUACGCAUCUACUAGACCCGUGUGUCUGAAUUUCCCCCGUUAAUAGAUUUGUCAAAAAAAAAAUUAAACAAAUUUAAAAAAAUU
ensembl:sense_intronic